UCCCCCCUCUAAUCAGUGAAACUGAUCUCCCCGUGAAGAAGCGGGGAUAUACAUAUAAGACGAGAAGACCCCAUGGAGCUUUAAACCUGACAGCACCCGCUCAUUCUAUACCCCAUUAUUUGCCCGACCCCUGUCUGCUCAGUUUUAGGUUGGGGUGACCACGGAGUAUAAAAUAACCUCCAUGAAGAAGGGGAUAUUUCCCUUAUUAGAGAACCACACUUCCAAGAACUAAUAAAUUAAUUUUCAAUGACCCGAUACCCGAUAAUCGAUCAACGAACCAAGUUACCCUGGGGAUAACAGCGCAAUCCACCCUGAAAGCCCUUAUUAACAGGUGGGUUUACGACCUCGAUGUUGGAUCAGGGUAUCCCAGUGGUGCAGCAGCUACUGAGGGUUCGUUUGUUC
rnacentral:rRNA from 1 species